rnacentral:rRNA from 1 species
UACAGAGGUCCCAAGCGUUGUUCGGAUUUACUGGGCGUAAAGGGCGCGUAGGCGGUCAGCACAAGUCAGUUGUGAAAUCUCCGAGCUUAACUCGGAAAGGUCAACUGAUACUGUGCGACUAGAGUGCGGAAGGGGCAACUGGAAUUCUUGGUGUAGCGGUGAAAUGCGUAGAUAUCAAGAGGAACACCUGCGGCGAAGGCGGGUUGCUGGGCCGACACUGACGCUGAAGCGCGAAAGCCAGGGGAGCGAACGGG